rnacentral:rRNA from 1 species
UCGGGAAUUUUGGGCAAUGGGGGAAACCCUGACCCAGCAACGCCGCGUGAAGGAUGAAGUAUUUCGGUAUGUAAACUUCGAAAGAAUAGGAAGAAUUAAUGACGGUACUAUUUAUAAGGUCCGGCUAACUACGUGCCAGCAGCCGCGGUAAUACGUAGGGACCAAGCGUUGUUCGGAUUUACUGGGCGUAAAGGGCGCGUAGGCGGCGCGGUAAGUCACUUGUGAAAUCUCUGAGCUUAACUCAGAACGGCCAAGUGAUACUGCAGUGCUAGAGUGUGGAAGGGGCAAUCGGAAUUCUUGGUGUAGCGGUGAAAUGCGUAGAUAUCAAGAGGAACACCUGAGGUGAAGACGGGUUGCUGGGCCAACACUGACGCUGAGGCGCGAAAGCCAGGGGAGCAAACGG